UACUACUACAAAUCUCCGCCUCCGCCUCCUCCCUACAAGUAUGAAUCGCCGCCUCCGCCUCCCUACAAGUACGAGUCGCCGCCUCCACCACCGUACUACUACAAAUCACCUCCGCCGCCCCCAUACAAGUAUGAAUCGCCGCCGCCACCACCAUACAAGUAUGAAUCGCCGCCGCCACCACCAUACAAGUAUGAAUCGCCUCCUCCACCACCAUAUAAGUACGAAUCGCCACCGCCACCACCAUACAAGUACGAGUCGCCUCCUCCACCUCCGUACAAGUAUGAAUCGCCUCCUCCCCCACCAUACUACUACAAAUCACCACCACCACCUCCUUACAAGUAUGAAUCUCCCCCUCCACCUCCAUAUUACUACAAAUCUCCACCCCCGCCACCACCUUACUACUACAAAUCACCACCACCACCUUCUCCUGUCUACAAAUAUAAAUCUCCACCACCACCACCUUACAAGUACGAAUCUCCUCCUCCACCUCCAUACUAUUACAAGUCUCCACCACCACCGCCGUAUUACUACAAGUCUCCACCACCACCACCUCCAGUUUACAAAUACAAAUCUCCUCCUCCGCCACCAUAUUACUACAAAUCACCACCUCCUCCAUCACCAGUAUAUUACUACAAAUCUCCUCCUCCACCAGCGUAUUACUACAAAUCUCCCCCACCGCCUGUCUACUAUUACAAAUCCCCGCCACCUCCAGCUUACCACUACCAAUCGCCACCCCCACCAAGUUACAAGCUGGUAGUGGUCACGGGCAAGGUCUAUUGCAACAGAUGCUGGAACACCACAAGCAGAUACCUUCAGGCAUCACCACAUGGGUCUGCUAGGUACAUUCUCAAUUGCAUUGUAUUCGAUAUUGUUCUCCUCACUCAUUUCCUCUUGAUACUGUGUGCAAUAAUGCAGGUGGCAAAGUGAAGAUCACAUGUGGCGAAUCUUACUACUACGGCUACACCAACAAGCAUGGAAUCUUUAGAAUUGAGCUCCCGCACCAAUCCUGGGAAGAAGCAAGCAGCUGCAAGGCCAAGAUUAUCAAGAGCAGCUACAUCAAGUCGUCAUGCAAUGUCAUCACGGACUACAGGUCUGGUGCAACAGGGGCCAAGCUCAAGUUCAAAUCGAAAACAGAGAAGGAGCUCGUCUUGACAGCCGGUCCUUUCAUCUAUGCAACUCCAGAGCCAUCGUCAGUCUGCUUCUACACAUCACCUCCCUAUGAGUACAAGUCACCUCCGCCACCAACACCGGUCUACCAUUACGCCUCUCCGCCACCUCCGGUCUACUACUACAAAUCGCCACCUCCUCCUUCACCGGUUUACUACUACAAAUCCCCUCCUCCUCCUUCGCCGGUCUACUAUUACAAAUCCCCGCCUCCACCACCAUACUAUUACAAGUCCCCACCUCCACCUCCGCCUAAGUAUUACUACAAGUCGCCCCCACCACCGUCUCCAUACUAUUACAAAUCCCCGCCCCCUCCACCGUACUAUUACAAAUCCCCACCACCACCUCCCUACAAAUACGAAUCGCCGCCGCCUCCUCCUUACAAAUACGAGUCCCCACCUCCACCACCUUACUAUUACAAGUCCCCACCACCACCUCCAUACAAAUAUGAAUCCCCGCCACCUCCAGUCUACAAAUAUGAGUCUCCGCCACCCCCAGUUUACAAAUACAAGUCGCCACCACCACCAUACAAGUACGAGUCACCACCACCACCUCCAUACAAGUAUGAAUCCCCGCCACCUCCACCUUAUUACUACAAGUCCCCUCCACCACCACCAUACAAGUACGAGUCGCCACCACCUCCUCCGUACAAGUAUGAAUCUCCACCACCACCAGUUUACAAAUACAAGUCACCUCCGCCGCCACCUUAUUACUACAAAUCCCCACCGCCACCUCCAUACAAGUACGAGUCUCCACCUCCUCCUCCGUACAAGUAUGAAUCUCCACCACCACCACCUUAUUACUACAAAUCCCCCCCGCCACCUCCAUACAAGUACGAGUCACCGCCUCCUCCUCCGUACAAGUAUGAAUCUCCACCACCGCCAGUUUACAAAUACAAGUCACCCCCGCCACCACCUUAUUACUACAAAUCCCCGCCACCACCUCCAUACAAGUACGAGUCUCCACCUCCUCCUCCGUACAAGUAUGAAUCUCCACCACCACCUCCUUAUUACUACAAAUCCCCGCCGCCACCUCCCUACAAGUAUGAAUCCCCGCCACCACCUCCCUACAAAUACGAGUCACCUCCACCACCACCUUACUAUUACAAAUCUCCUCCACCGCCUCCAUACAAGUAUGAGUCGCCACCACCACCAGUCUACAAAUACGAGUCUCCGCCACCCCCAGUUUACAAAUACAAGUCGCCCCCUCCACCUUAUUACUACAAGUCUCCGCCACCCCCGCCAUACAAAUAUGAAUCCCCACCUCCACCUCCCUACAAGUAUGAAUCGCCUCCUCCUCCACCUUACUACUACAAGUCCCCUCCACCACCUCCCUACAAAUAUGAAUCCCCGCCACCACCUCCCUAUAAAUACGAGUCACCACCACCACCACCUUACUAUUACAAAUCUCCUCCACCGCCUCCAUACAAGUAUGAGUCGCCACCACCACCUCCCUACAAAUACGAGUCACCACCACCACCACCUUACAAGUAUGAAUCCCCACCUCCACCUCCGUACAAGUAUGAAUCACCUCCACCGCCUCCAUACAAGUAUGAAUCCCCUCCUCCACCUCCCUACAAAUACGAGUCACCACCCCCACCACCUUAUUACUACAAAUCGCCUCCGCCACCGGAGUAUCAAUCAC
rnacentral:lncRNA from 1 species